GACGAACCGUGCGAACGUUGUUCGGAAUCACUGGGCAUAAAGGGCGUGUAGGCGGUUUGUUAAGUCUGGCGUGAAAGCUCUCGGCUAAACCGGGAGAGGUCGUUGGAUACUGGCAAACUAGAGGAUGGUAGAGGCGUGUGGAAUUCCGGGUGUAGUGGUGAAAUGCGUAGAGAUCCGGAGGAACACCAGUGGCGAAGGCGACACGCUGGGCCAUACCUGACGCUAAAGCGCGACAGCAUGGGGAGCAAACGGG
rnacentral:rRNA from 1 species